GAAAAACUCGAGGCCUGCAGCCCCGCUGGAAAAUCCAGUAGAAAUUCGACUGUUUACCGUACGUACCGAUAUGCGCGAGACGCUUCGAAGACGUGUGAUAAUAAUAUUAAACGCUUCUUAACACAUGCAAUACAUAAAUAUUUAUUUUUCGCCGUUGUUGUUAAUGUUUUGUCAACUAUGUUACCUCGUUUAAACGCACAUUACGUAUUAUAAUAUUAUUUGCGCAUAACAUUACCUAGUUGUAGUUGUCUUAUAUCAUGUACCUAAAUGUGACGCAUUGUCGGUAGUUUUUUUUUUUCGAUUGAUAUUUCGUUAAAAUCCGUAAAAAAAAAAAAAAAAAAAAAAUCCAAACACGUGAUAAAAAGUGAGUACACACGUUUAUGAAACAUAUAUUGUGCUUUUUUAUUUUCCAUAUUGUUCGACAGGCUAUACGCGUUUAUGAUUUUAAUUUUUCAAAAUAUUAUUAUACGUUCUCAUAACUCCUUCGUUCGAUUAAUUUACGAUAAACACAAUAAUAAUGUGCACGUUUUUUUUUUUUUUUUUUUUUUUUUUAAACGACAAUAAAUCAAUUUUCGUAAUCAAUUUUUACAGAGCUUAAAUAUUUUUAUUUUCUAUAAUUAUAUUAUUAUUUAUAUUUUAUCUUCGAAUUCGCUUAUAAUCAUUAAGCACUAAUAAAGUUUUAUUAUUUCAAGUCGAUACUUUUUGUAUACGUAUAUGAAAUUAAUUAAAUUAAUUUUAUUUCAUUAUACUUAUGCACUUAUAAAAUAUUGUACAUUUAAAAAACAAUCGAAUUCAAUAUCUAUAAUUGAUCGUACGGUGAGAAUUAUUGGAAUUUUAAAAUUUUUCAUAAUUUAUAAUAAGUUGAAUUUAUUUCAAUUAUUAAUUUUUAAUACGUGCAAUAUUCCUUCUUACGUGGGGAUUUUUUUGGUUUAUCGUAAUUCACUUGCGUACGGUUAUUUGAAAUUUUUAGUAAGUUUUCGUUAGUAAUUAUACUGUGCUCGUAUAAUAUCCUUUGCGUAUCGUAAUCUAUUAUAUACGGCUAUUGAGAAACUUUAGGCGAUUUUAGUUUCUGGACACAUGUUUAGUAUAUAUCUGUAUAGUUAGAGUACAUUAUAUUAGGAAAUCUAUAAACACGUUACGACGUCGCGUUUUUUUUUUUUUUUUUUUUUUUUUUUUGGUUUACAUUUAUCGUAGUUUUUUUUCAUUUUUAUCGUAUUUUACGCCGAGAUACUCUAUAUUCUACAGAAAAUAUAUUUCUUAUAUACAUAUACAUCCCAUACAUUUUUAUUGUUUUAUAAUGCAUUAAAAAAUUAAUUCGAGUUAAAUUAUUCGGCGAAUUUACAAUCAGUCUGUUCAUUGUUUUGCUGUUUUGUAUGGUGAUCUAUUUAAUUUAAUUAUAUAGACAAAAAAACUCGUAAAAUUAUUGAAAAAGAAAUUGAAUUAAAUAACUACGUCAAAAAAAAAAAAAAAAAACACCAACAAAUUUAAUUUUAACGAUUUUAUUAUUUUAAAUUUUUAUAUUUUUUUCGUGUAGGUAGUAAAAAUAUUUUACUAUUAAACAAUUUCAUAUUUUCAAUUAACCUAUAAAUAAUAUACGAUAGUUUUUCUAAAAUAUUAUAGAAAUCGCGAAAAAUCAAAAAAAAUGUCCUUUUUGAUUACAAAUUAAAUUAAAAAUUCUACAAAAACUGUCUUGUCAUUUUUUGAUUGGGGCAGGAUAUUUGGUUGAAAACAUAAAUUUUGAAAAUUUAAAAUGAAGACAAUGUUGAUGCCAUAAAUUUGUUUGUUUGUGAGUCUCAUAUUUUUCCGGUUUUUCAAAAUAUUAUAAAAGCAAUUUAGAAAAUCAAAUAAUGGUUUUAUUUUUAACCAACUAGAUCCAAAAGGUGACAAAAAAGUUUUCUAGUUACAAAAAGAGAGUUAUACUUCGCACGAUGGUUGAGCCACUGUUGUUGGCGAAAAGUUGGGAAGGUAACAUAUAGAGGGGAAUUUAAUUUAUUUUUGUACGCAGCGACAAAUCAUUGCUAACGAAAAACGAUUAGGAACAAAGUUUCUUAUGUAUUACAUGUACGUAAAUUUUCUAUUGUUUCUUAGGUUUUCCGAUUUUCCCAAUUAUUGUUUAUACCGCUUGAAAAAUUAAAAAAUGGUGCCUUCAAAUUACAAAAAUCUUAAUCCAAAAUGCAAUCAAAAAGGUCAUUUCUCAUUUUUUUAUAAGGGAAAGUUUUAUAAGACAAAUGUUGUAAAAAAUAUAAAUAAAUAUCAUUGUAAAUUCAAUACAUUACUCCUAUUGUUCAGAAUCUAAAAGUAAAAGAAAUUCGUCAUAAUAGUAAUAAUAUACUAAAUUAAUAUCAAGUAGACUUUUUUAAUUGGUACAUGUUUUUAAUUUGUUAAUGCGUUUCUCGGCGAUAGGUGUACGGAUGCAUAACGGCUGGGUAAUAUAGAAAAUAUCAAUAUGAUUUUUCAAAGAAUAAAAACGACACGAAAACAUUGAAAUUCAGUUUUAAAUUAAUUUACAAGACGUAACUCUUCAGUAAAACCAAAAAGUUUUAGUUAUAAUUAAAAUUCGUUAAAAAAAAAAUGUCCAUGCAUCGAAAAAGAAAAAGACAGAAACAAAUUUUGGGGAUAAUAUUGCAGUACUCUCAUUCAAUUUUAAACAAGUCAGUUUUUCACAAAUUAAUAUGACGGUUGAAAAAUCUUAUGCCUGUUAGGAUUAUAAUUUAAUAGCACAGUAUUAAACUUCAUUUAUAAUUACCUAAUUUUAUGAUAUGUACAUUUUAAACUCUUUCAAAAUCUAUAUAAAAGUACCCUUUACAGUGAUUUUUGAGAUAAAAUGCUUACAGCAAAAUAGAUAGAGUAGAAUAUUAUGUGUUUCGAUUUACUUACUUAGGGAUAUCUCGAUAACGUAAAUAAAAAAAAAUUAUAUAUUUUUUUCAAAAAUUCUAGCUGUUACUGUUUUCUUGACCGAUAUUCUGAGAAAAAAUGCUUUUGAGAUUACGGUGGAAAUAAAAAUGAAUAAUAUGAGAAAAAAAUUGUAAUUUCUAUCGUGUAUUUGGUGCUAAAAAAAAAAACCCACACACACACACGCAGUAUAUUUUCGUCUCUUAUUCAUCAGUAUUUCCAAUGUCCUUGUUAAAUACACUUCGGACUCAGCUGUAUACAAGUAGAUACGUACGUAUACAGAGUGUAUUUUAUGCGGUAGAGUUUUUACUUUAUCCGGUUAUAUGGCCGCGGUGGAACGUGUGCCCUGGGUUGUCAACGUUUUUACAGUUGACGAAAGGCGCGCGUAAAAAACAAACCGAGCAUACUUAUGAGUUAAAAAAUUGUUUUGACAGCGAGGGUACCAAAAAAAAAUAACCCUGAGUGACAAAACAAGUAAGCUUAAUGCGUCGUCAAAACUCUUAGGGUAGUUUCUUUGCUUUGUAUUUUUAAUUUAAAUACUUAAAUAAGCCGUCCGAGUUAAAAACGAUUUUUUCACUGCUGGCGGGUAUAAAAUAGCCAGUUAUCGUAUUUAUUAUAUGAAUAGUUUAAUUCCAUCACCUUUAAUAUGACUGUUUAUACACCAAGAGGGAGACCAAGGAACCGUUGGUUGGACGGGAUUUCAAAGAAAUGUAAAAUUAAAUGGGAAAUAUAUCGUUUGGGAAAAAUGUAUUGGAGAUAGUGUGACGAUAGAAGGAAAAGUUGCCGUUGACAGUCUUUAAGUGCUGACAAGCAAGAUAAGAAGAGAUAAGAAGAUAUUAUUAUAAUUAGAUGCAUUACAUAUUUCUAUACAAAACGUGAUAGUAGUUAAUAAAUUAUAAAAUAAUACUGCAACAGUAUUUUAUAAUUUAAAUAAGGUCAUAAAUUGAAUAUAAAAUUUGAUCCAAAUUCGCUUUCGUAUGUUUACCGUAGACAAUAAAAUAAUGGAAAGGACAUAUCUAUACUGUUUUAAUUAGGAGUCCUGGGGUUUUUUGACGGUAGAGAGAACAUCGAUUUUCUACAAGAACGAAUGACCGUGAUAGCAUUUUGACUGUCUUGCUGAAAGUUUUUUUAUGAAAAUGUCUAUAUUAUUUAUCUAUAUAUAUUAUUUAUGCUAUUGUUAUUAUUUCCUUAGAAUAGAUUAGAUUUUGACUCGUAUAUUAUAUUAUAUUAUAAUUUUUGAUUCUGAGUGGAGCGAGGAGUGAGAAGCGAGGAAUGAAUGGUUUUAAAAUGAUGUUUAUUUUUUUUUAAAAGGAAAUGUUUUCUAGGUGAUACUUAAGAGAUGUAAUUUUUCAAAAUUCUCAUUAAUAUUCGAGAUAAUGAGGAAAACCUGGUUCUUUAGGUUAAACAAGAUUGAAAGAUUAAAAAUAAGGUUGUCAUUGGCAACCGUUUUAAUUUUUUUUUUUAUUAUAAUAUCUUUUUUAAACAAUCAUUGUUGUCAUGGAAACGCACAUUGUUGUAAUCAUUUUACUAUAAUAUGACAUAUAUAUAUAGUUAAAAAAUCAACACUAUUAACUGAACUCCGCUCAGAAUCGAUUUUUCGUUAUUAUUUUCCCACCCACAAAAGUGGCUGCAUCUGCGUGUGAAGUAUGCCCGUCUAUUUUUCCUUUGUUUAUAAUGUUCGCAUACUUUUUAUUAUUAAGGUAAUUAAUAUUCGAACAUUUAACACUAUCGUUAUUAAUAAUAAUAUAUUUAAUUAUUCUAAACGUAAAUCACUUAUCAUACUAAUAUGAAUAUUGUAAAUAUUUUCCCCAGACAACUUUAAAAAGUUAAAUCAUUAAAUUUACAAGUGAUAAGGUUUCAUCCCAAUUUUUGGUUAUUUCUUAUGCUAUUCGUAUCAUUUUACCGUAAAAAAAAUGAGUGGUUUUUAUUCUCAACCGAUGACUAAAAAUAAAUAAAUUUAGAAGUGAACUUAAUACGUACUUUUUGUUUUUGGAUUAAGAAAACGUUAAAUUAUUUAUGAGAUAUCGUUAUUAAGAAGAAAAAACUGUUAGUAAUUAGCCGAUUCGCAGUUGCAGGCGCAUUAAUUAAUAAAUUAUAACAAAUUAUUGUUAAAAAAAAAAAAAAACCAAAAAGAAAAAAAAAACGAUAAACCAUCAAAAAUCGCAUUAAUUAUGAUAUAGAGUCGAGUACGUUGUUGAUAAUGAAAUAUUAUAAUGUCAGUCGGUGGUUUUAUUAUAUUUUUGAUGCAUUUAAAAAAUAGAAAACAUAAAACCCGAAAUUAUAAUAUUGUAUUAACACGCAUUGUAUUAUAGUAUCGAUUCGCACACCAUUAUAAAACACUUGCAAUGAAUCCAAAAAAAAAAAAAAUCAUCGGUUUGUUCGAUUUAUAUAGCUUAAAAAAAUUGACAAUCUAAAUAAUAGGUAGAGGUACACGUGUUGUGAGUACGCUCAACCGCGCGUUUUGGUAACCUCGUCGAAUCGCCUAAAAAUAGAUUGUUUCCAAUUUCGUAUUAUUAUUUUAGUACGUUGUCGAAGUGCAGGUUUGGGCAUCGCAAGUCUCGUAUCGUAUCAGCUAAAGGAUAUUUGAACAAUAUUUAUUCCGUGCUUCUAUAUUAUAAUAGUUUUUUUUAUUUAAAUGAGACGAUGGAUACAGGGUGAUCCAUUUAACCAGUGUUUUUCCGCCGGAACAUUUUAAGUGAAUUUUAUCUGGGGAUUUUUUUAUACAACCAUCACGAAAUCGUUAGAGCUUUAUUUUAACACUAUUGGCCAUUUGUUAUCCCAACUCUUCGUAUUCCUUUAACGGGCGUUGUUCAAGGAAGAAGCCUCAUUUUAAAUACAAAUUUGCGUAGAUUAUUUUUUUAUUUUUUUUUAUUUUUACCAUGCUAUACAGGACUUAUCGUGUUUGAUAUAGGUACAAAAGCUUAGAAUUUGGAUCAGGAUAGUGGCGGUAACAAAGAGUGAUUAACUUCAUAUCAAUUUUUAGACGAUGCAUUGGUACCUUACUCCUCUCAAACUUGAAAAAAAGGGAGUUUUUUUUUUGCAAAUCAAAAGUGCACCCUCAUAUAAGGUUUAAGACGAGUCGGAGUGAAAAAUCGAAAACAGUGUUAAAAUAUCAAAGCGAUUCCAUGUAAUGAUUGAAUGAAAAUAAACAAAUUUAAAAAAUCAAAUCCACCGCGUGAAAACCGCCGGUACACGAUAACACGGAUCACCCUAUAGACAAUAUAUCGGUUUUACAACGGUAUUGUAUUUUAUGUAUAACAAUUUUCCCGGGUCGGAGGAAUACGCAAUUUAAAAGUUUCCCGGAGCUCCUUCUAUUAUCCUUCUGCUUCAUUUAUAUACCAGCUAUCAUAUUAUGCCAUGCAUAUCGAUUGAAAAUCUCAAGUUUGGCUGGCCAUUUUUUGGUUUAUCCUCGAGCUCAGAACAAAAUUAAGAAAAACCCGCCUCCGUCUAAAAACUGCAAAAUAACAACUGUACAGGAUACGCGUGUAUAUAAUUUACGGCACACGCCCGUGAGUUUCCGGACGGAAUUGAUUUUUCGUUAUUUUCUCGAAAAUAGUAUGUACCUAAUAUUAUAUAUAUAUCACGGAAAAUCAUGGAGCUGGGAAUUUUCAACGAUUAUUUAUUAUUUUUACGGGCACCGUACAAGCGGAUAGAGGGGUUCAGCUGAUUGGUCGUAGCUCAUCUUUUAAACACUAUCCUUUUUUUUUUUUUGUAAAAAGGUAUCGAUAUUUUACUGCUGACAAACAGCGUGUUACAUAUGUCGGUUGGUGUAAAAAAAAAAAAAAAAUCCGAUUCGAUUUAUUAUCACCUACCGCGCACAUUUUGCCGUCCGAUUUGACGGACAUUUUGAGCGACGGCCACCGUGUAAUAGUUUUUCUCGCCGAGUAGUGCAGGCAACGAUGUGCUGGAGUUCUCAUUGCAAUUUAUACUUUUGAAUUAACUUCCGGUCAGAGGAAAAUGCGGAGAAUUGAAAAUCUCGUUGAGAGCGCUACAUAGUUUUGUAAAAAUUAGUUUAUGUACUUACGAGCUUACGUUAAAAUUGAAAACCCCGAAAAGUUCUCGGGUUUCUUCCUUUUUUUUUCUAACCCGAAGAGAUGCAAUUUAAAAACGCGAUUAUAAACUUAUUUAACUUUACAGAAUCUUGAGAAUGUCAAAUACCUACGUUUUAUUUUCAUUUGAAGGGUGCAUAUUAUAGGAUUUUAACUGUAUUUCCAGCAUCGAGUAGAUACUUGCCGGGUGUACAUUAUUGUAUAAGCGCUUAGAAUGUAAAAUAGUGCAAUUUCGGUUUAGUCGAGUCGAGAAAUAAUUUACACUUGACAUUUUGACGAACUACAUUUUUUCUGACGUACAGGCGAUUAUACUGUAUUUAUUGUUUCUAAAAACUCAGCGUAUGGGAUUUAUCGUGAAAGUUGGUACCUAUAUUCAAGGGUUUUUGGACUUCCGAGGGUUGAGCUAGGAAUUCAGUCAAGGGGACAUGACACUAUAGUAUGUUGACAUUUUACAAUAAGAAAUUUAGAUUUUGUAUGUUUUUUUCUCCGCGGGUUCCCAUUUAGUCUGCGGUCAUCGUGUACUGAAUGCAUUGGUGAUGAAGGGGGAAAUUGUUUGUUUUAAUUUCAUGACAACAAUUGAUCUAUGUAUUCUAUCGCGAAUAUUGAGACUGAAAUAAGAAUGUCCUAUAUUCGUAUUAUUAAAAAAUAUUUAAUUACAUUUUCUAUCGUGAACUUGUAGUGUUUUUUUAAUUUUUUUCAUAUUAGUCGGAUAGUUCACUCAGUUUGCUGUGCUAUUUUAUUAUUAUUGUUAUGCUGAGUUAAAGCUAAUUUACCGAGAACGAAAAAAAAAAAAUUGUUGUUUUUUAAUAUACUAAAAAGGAUUUCGGUCGGAGGAUUUUUAUGAGAAUCACGUGUACAUAAUUUUACUAAAAAUUGUAUUAUAAAUAAAAACGUGGAUGAAUAUACUUAAAAUAUAUUAAUAAUAUCAUAUUUGUGUUGGGUUGUGUAGGGAUAAUGAAAUGUUAUAAUAUGAACUUACUUACUUGGAAAAUAUUCACCCUGUUGCCGUUAACGUGACGUUCGUUCGGGCUGAACUUUUAGCCAUAGGGUUUAUUAUAAACAUGCAUUUAUAUUAUAAAAUAGAGUUUUUUUUUUAUUAUUGUUCUUUUUAUCUUUCGUAAUUUCUGAAGGUAGGUAUAAUAUAUUUUCGAGUAAAUAAAACACAGAGAUCAUUUUCGCUAUGGGCCAAUGAUGGAAGGUUGGAUCCAAAAUAAGAUCAUCUUGAAAGCCCUAAUAACUAACUAUUUGAAGAAAAAUAACGAUUUAAUAAGCUAUACCUUACAGCCACAACUAGACAUCUGUUAGUGUGUUAGUGUUCGUGGGGGGGGGAAGGAAUUUGUGAAUUCAUGUCAUUAUCACAUAUUAUACAUUACACUCAUGUUUUUAGUCGACAUGUGUAGUAUUGAAGAAUUCCUUUCAACAAGAUUUAAACGAUAUAAGUGUACGGGUAGUUUUCAUUUAUUUACUUGACUCUUUUCACUUCCAUCAAUUAUUAUGAUGGAUUAUCUUAGUUAUCUUUAUUAGUAGUAGUAUGUAUAUAUUUUGAUUGAAUUAGACAUUUCACUAUGGAUUCCUAGAUAAGUUCGUUCCUGUAAAAACAGUAUUAACAUUUGAAUUGGUAUACCGUUAUUAUUAUUUUUUUUUUUUAUUGGAACGUAUUCUUAAACAUAUUCUUUAAACAAUUAUCGAUACGUACCAAACUAAGCAAUUCAGUUUUGAAAUGAAUUUAAUAUACAUAUUUCUGCUGAAUUAGAAAAAAAUGCUCAAUUCAUUGAAUAAAAGGACGGACAUACUUCACACGAUGUGUGGGCCACUUUUGUAGGUGAGAAGUUGGGAAGAGUAAAAUUAAAUGUAUAUCUGUACGAAAAGAUUAAUCAUUGCUAACGAAAAAUAAUUCUGAGCAGAGUUCGGUUAUGCAAUAUAUACGGUUAUAUUUCGGCCUUAUGAAAGGCCGAAAUAUUUACAAUUUGAAAAUAAUAUAUUUCAUAAAUUUCCUUGUUUUUCCCACAUUUGUUCACGGGUUUUCCCAUUUAUUCGGAAAACCCCUGAGAAAAUCGAAAAUGACUUUCUUAAAGUACCAGUCAGAUUUCCUUUUAGAAAAAUAUGCUAUACUUAAAAUCUGAGCAAAUAUUCUGGUAAAAAAGUUGUUCAAAAAAAAAAUUAAAUAAAUAUCAUUGUAAAACCAAUACAUUCCUCGCUCUACUUAGAAUCUAAAACAAGUAUAAAAAUGUUUUAUUAAAUAUUGUAUAAUAAAAUAAUUAUGAAUUUCACAUUAGAAAGGAAAAGUGCAUUUUUUUUUUCGAAUUUGAACUCAAAUAACAUGGGUUAUUUUGAAAACCAAUAUAUAAUAGUAUUUUAAGUAUGAUGUAUGUUAUGAAAUCAAAUAGGUAUUCUCAAAAUCUUCAUAAUAUAAAUAAUACAUAGCUCCUCCAUCGUUUGAUUUGAAUUUAAGACUUUCACACCAGCACUUGAAUAUUAAUAAUCUCAAUUUAUUCAUUGGUUAUUGUAUACCUACGCCCUUGAUAAGUUCGAAAUCUUUUCAGGAGUGGCAAUCCACUCGUCGUUGUUUGCGGUCGAAUCCUGCAAGACAGGCGAUUAUUGGGGUCGAGAUUCUGAUCUAAGUGACUAUAUUUUAUUAAUUUAACGUGUUUAGUAAGUGCUGCAUGAUAAAACAACGGAAUUUUUAAUUCCGGAAUCACUUUGAUUUAAUUCCCAUAAACUAUAAUAUAGGUCAAUGCAAUAAUAUUAUUGCGCCCUUUAUAUAUCCGUAUCAAAGCAGUAUUCGAUUAAAAAAAUAAAACUGUACUCGGCCGAUUUUAUACACAAUAUGUUAUAUAGGAUAUCCCUGUCCUACCGUGUUCCGCUGGUUUAAUAUAUUACAGUAGGUCAAAAACCAUAGAACACGGUGGAACACCUUGCAUAAAUAAAUUAUAAAAAAUUCGCGAUUAUUACGAAUACAUUUCUUUUCGAAAACAAUGAAAUAUGUGAUUAAACAUUUAAAUUUAUCAGUAUGUAUAUAAAUUGUACGAAUAAUUUUAUCCACAUGAAAUCAAAUAAAAACGAUUUCCUUGUUCACCAACUAGACAAGAUUUGGUUUUACAAAAGUCACUGCACUUGAAGAUUUCAGGUAGAAAAACAAAAUCGAUAACAUUGACAAUAAUGACAUUUUUACUGCCGUAAUUCUUUUUCGUUUAUUUGUCCCAUAUUUUUUGCCCUAAUUAUUUUUAAAACUACACGGAAAAUUAAAAAAAUUACCUCUUUAAUAUAUCAAUUAGAUUUAAUGCGCAACAAAAAAGAUUAUUUGUCAUUUUUUGAUUGGCGUAAUAAUUUUGGUAGAAAAAUGAUUUACAGACGGAUAAAAUAUAAGCUAAUAUCAUAGUGAAUAAAUCAAUAUAUUUUUUGAUGCCCUUAGAAUUUAAACAAAUCAAAAAUGAUUGUACUACAAAUGCCUAAUUUCAUAGCAAUAUAUUUAUAUAGUAUUUUUUUGUAAUACAAACCAAAAUUUGUUUUGUUAUAGAUGGACCAAGAUGAAAAUCAAAAAUCCGAUAACAAGCGUCGCCAGUCGCUGAGCAUCGACAAGGCUGCGUUCCUAUUGCUCCGAAUUAAGCGGGUGUUCAAAAAAAGAAGCCAAAGUCAUCACACCGAAAAAAGGUUUUUAAAAAAAAAAAAAAAAACAACAACAUUAUCUCAUAGUAUUUAAGCGAAUUUAGUUUCUUGUAUUAAACGGUCUACAUCAUUAUUUUACGUUUUAUUUCAAUGUGCC
rnacentral:lncRNA from 1 species